rnacentral:sRNA from 1 species
GGUUUAAUCAACAAAAUCAGGGUAUGAAGUGAUUAAUUUAAAUUUUGUAUUAUGCCUCGUCAAAUUUUAUUCAAAAGGUUAAAUUUCAAAUACUUAAGUUAAAUCUAAAAUUUUGUUUCCUAGUAUAUUUGCUGAGCACUGAUAUGUUAAAGGUAUACAUACCCAAUUUUAUAUACAUGUACUUGUAAUGUGAUUUGUGUUUGAAAUUUUCUUAUUUGGUUCAAAAUUAAGUCUUGAUGUGUUUCACUGAUGAAAGUUGUACCGGUACUUAAGAUUUUGGAAAACUGCUGGACUCAUUAUGUUUUACGCAUUACUCUAUUUAAAUUUGUCUUCACUUAUUGAAAAAUAUUCAUAAUAAGCAUUAUUAUAAUACAGUAUAAUACAGCAAGAUGUCUGCCUAAUUUUAUACUUGUAAAUGAAUGUUUUUUAAUAUAUUAUGAAUACCUCCUGCUGAUUUCUUAAUCAAUUUAGUUCAUUUUCAAUUUUUUACCACAUUCAUGUAUUAAUUCUUUGUGUAUUCAAAACCAAAGUGUAAUGUGUUCUGUACACACAAUUUUCCAAUGGUGCAACACACAAGUCCUUUUAAAUAGAGAAAAAAAAAUGUAUAAAGGUAACAAAUGGAGUGAACAGACUGAAGUUUGAAUUUAUCAACAUGGCUUUUACCAGUGAAAGAAUUUUAUUGACACUGAAAAUCCUCUAGACCUGUCAAUGGAAGAUAGAAAGUGCUUGACGAAGUUUUAUGUUGAGUAAAGAUUUUAAGCAAAUAAACUGCAGGCAGUUAUUCCUGGGAAGACAAUUUCUAGUGUACAAAGAUCGAUCCGCCAGCAACAGUGAAAAGAUAAGACUCCUGCACUCUUUCUAGUUCCCGGCAUGAUUUGGCUUGUGAAAUGUUUCUUAAUUUGUAUUGUGAACUUGCUCAAUAAAUUUCUAUUUGUUC